rnacentral:rRNA from 1 species
AUACGUAGGUGACAAGCGUUAUCCGGAUUUACUGGGCGUAAAGGGCGUGUAGGCGGUCUUGCAAGUCAGAAGUGAAAUUCCUGAGCUCAACUCGGGCGCUGCUUCUGAAACUGCAGGACUUGAGUGCUGGAGGGGAUAGCGGAAUUCCUAGUGGAGCGGUAAAAUGCGCAGAUAUUAGGAAGAACACCGGUGGCGAAGGCGGCUAUCUGGACAGUAACUGACGCUGAGGCGCGAAAGCGUGGGGAGCAAACAGGAUUAGAUACCCCGGUAGUCCACGCCAUAAACGAUGAAUACUAGGUGUAGGGGGUAUCGACCCCCUCUGUGCCGACGUUAACACAUUAAGUAUUCCACCUGGGGAGUACGGCCGCAAGGCUGAAACUCAAAGGAAUUGACGGGG